GACGAACGCUGGCGGCGUGCUUAACACAUGCAAGUCGAACGGUUAUGCCCCAGCGUGCUGGUGUGGAUCAGUGGCGAACGGGUGAGUAACACGUGAGCAACCUGCUCCAGACCCUGGAAUAAGCGCUGGAAACGGCGUCUAAUACUGGAUAUGAAACUGGCUCGCAUUUUCUUGGGUUGGAAAUUAGUUCGGUUUGGGAUGGGCUGGCGGCCUAUCAGCUUGUUGGGGAGGUAAUGGCCUACUAAGGGGGGGACGGGUAGCCGGCCUGAGAGGGGGACCGGCCACACUGGGACUGAGAGACGGCCCAGACUCCUACGGGAGGCAGCAGUGGGGAAUAUUGCCCAAUGGGCGAAAGCCUGAUGCAGCGACGCCGCGUGAGGGAUGACGGCCUUCGGGUUGUAAACCUCUUUCAGCAGGGAAGAAGCGAAAGUGACGGUACCUGCAGAAGAAGCACCGGCUAACUACGUG
rnacentral:rRNA from 1 species